AUGUAGUAAUAGAAGCUAUUCAAAAUGAAACAUAGAGACAAAAACAAAUUUAAAAAAUUUGUUUAAAAAAGCCGAGAGCUGCAGUACAACUUCAGGUGGCCUAAUAUAGGCAUAGUGGGAUUACUCGAGUACAAGAAAAUAAGUGAGGUGUAUAGAACAAUAACUGAAUAGAUAAUGGCCAAAAUUUCUUCAAAUUUGAAAACUGAAUCCACAAGCACAAGAAAAAUGAAGAAGCAACAUCGAUUCAGAAUAAUCACAUUUUUCAAAACCAGUGAAAAAGAAAAUCUAAAGAGCAGUUCAGGAAAAAAAAAAACCACAUAUGUACAGAGGAAAAGAUAUGAAUCAGAAAUAAUAUAGUGAGCAAGAUCUUUAAAAUACUGAAAGAUAAAAUUCUAUAAACUGAGAUUUCUAUAUGUAGAAAAAUAGCUUUCGAAAAAUAAUAAAACGGAUUUCAUCAAAAUUAAAAGCUAUUAUUCUUCAAAAGAUACCAUAAAAAGAAGGAAAAAUAAAAAGUAUGAGAAGAUAUUUGCAAACAUAGGUCUGAUAGAGGAUUUCCACUCAAAAUAUUUAUAGAAGGUUCAAAACUCAAUAAUAUGAAAUCAAACAACCUAACAAAAAACAUAUGAUACAAUGUCCAACAUAAUUAGUCAUUACAGAAAUGCAAACUAAAACCAUAAUGAGAUAUCACCACAUAUCUGGUGGAAUGUAUACAAUUAAAAAUACCAACCAUACAAAGAGUUGAUGAUGUGGAGGAAUUGGAACUCUGAUACAUUGGCAAAGGGGAUAUAAAAUUGGACAGUCACUUUGAAAAUUUCUUUAAAAAGUUAAGUGCACGCUCACCACAAAAUCCAGCCAUUCCAUUCCAAUGUACUGAUCAAGGGAAAAGAAAACUUACAUUCAUACAAAGACUUAUACACAGAUGCUCAUAACAGUUUUAUUUGUAUUGGUUAGAAACAGGAAAUAGCCUAACAACAAUAGAUGGAUGAAUAAUCAAACUGUGGUAUAGCCAUACAAUGGAAGGCUACUCAGCAAUAAAAAGAAGCAAGUCAUUGACACAUGCAGCAAUUUGGAUAAAUCUUCAAAUAGUUAUGCUUAGUGAAAGAAGCCAGAUCCCCCCUCCCAAAAAAAAGUGAGCACACUGAUUCUAUUCAUACAGAACUCAAGAAAAUGUGAUUAAUCUCUAGUGACAGAUGGCAGAUAUGUCGGGGGGAUGACAAAGAUACUUGAGGAAACUUUUUGUGGUAAUGGAUAUGCUCACUGUCUUGACUGUAGUGAUGGUUUCAUGGGGGUAGUUCUUUGUUAAAACCUAUAAAACUGAAAAUUUAAAUAUAUGUUAUUUAUUAUAUGUGAAUUAUACAUCAAUAAAACUGUUAAAAGAAAAAAAAGCAACUCUCUGUUGUUCUUUCCCCUCUCUACAAUAUUCAACAAAAGCAUCACAAUUCUACAGAAUAUCUAAAGGGUUCAAAGCACUAACACUGGAUGACCGUGUGACCUGGCUAUCUGCAGUGUGGCAUGCAGUACUGUGUGAUUUGGAUUUCAUGGCUCUGCACGAACAGGCUGACAGAAAUGUACUUCCUUGUGGUCAGCCCUAACGUCGCUCUCCGUAUGUGCCUGUAUUUCUAUAUAAUUCACAGCAUGAUAGCGAGUCCAUCUGAUACUAACCAUUGUGCUGAAGAUUGUUAUGGAUCUCACACUCUUGGUGAAAUAAAAAAUACAACGUGAGCCUCUUCAGAAGCAUGAAAAGCAGCCCCAAACUUGUGCUUAGGCUGCUUUUGUAUGCACAUGUACUUAGAGAAGGUCAAACAUAAACAAAAUGCAGGUCCAACUGCUUUUGAAGAUGUCAGUUCUGACUUGGAAUUCAGCAAAAAACUAACAAUUUCAUCUCACCUAAUUAGCCUGUCAUAUUAACUACAAUUUCCUCUUGGUAGUUUUUACAUUUCUCUAAUUGAUCUAUGUACUUUAGAAAAAAUACUUUUAGAAAAGAUCUGAUGUACUUUAGAAAAAUGACUCUGUUCAAAUGAUAUACUACUUAUUUUUAUUUAAUAUGUACAUUGGGCAUCAUUUACAGAAUUUGGCCAUGGGGGCACUGGCUGGGAACUCUAUUAUAGCACUGUUUCUAUGGGAAAAGCAGAAUAAAUUUUCAAGAUUUCAACUUAAUGUGCUUUUUCCAAGCAUGUUCUUUGCUAUGAACACAGAGUCUGCUUAUGCUCUAAAGUACAAACCAUUAUUAUUCAGAAUAACUUUACCUAUGGAGUCAAAUCCUCGACUGGAGAUAAUAAUACCAGUUUAGAAACAAAGUUUUCUGUGUUCCAAAAGGCAACAUGGGAGCACCUUCAUUCUCAAAUUACAAAUGAAAGACGUUUGUAACACAAAUACAGAAACAAAAGAUCAAACAUAGUAAAGAUUACUAAGAUUACUAAGAAGUAGCGGGAUGCUACUUCUUAGUAAUGAGAUCAUCAUAGAAGACACUUCUUAGUAAUGAGAUCAUCAUAGAAGACACUUAGAAUUUGCUUCUAACUGAUGUUUCUGAUUCCAAACUAAUAUAAGAAAUUGACGAAGUUCAAUCUGCUUUGCAGGCUGCGAACAUCACCGCUGGAAGAAGAGCAGCAGCAUGUAUUGGAAGGGCAGGAAAAGAAGAAACUGCUUUUAAACCUUAAGUUGAAUUCUAACUCUGUUCUUUCUGACUGGUAAAAAUAAAUUUUGUAGGCAC
rnacentral:lncRNA from 9 species